CCUCGUUUCACAUCCUGUUUUGUGAAAGGAGAGGCCAAUUCCAACAGGUUUAGAUUUCACUUUUGGGAGAGAGAAGAAUUAGUAGUUCAGAGAGGCUCAGAUAAGCCUGACCUUAACUGACACAGUGUAUGUUAGUGCUCAGUCAAGGAGAAAAAGGGAGAAGCAACAUUGCCAAGAACUUAAAAAUCGGGAAGGUUUCAGUUUAGAUUUUCUACAGAUGACUUAAAAGACAUACAAAUUUUUAUAGUUAAGCACAUUUUAUCUCAGUGACCUCAAUCAGGAUACCCUGGGCAAUCCCUUUUUGCCAUGAGCACAGUUCCUGCUGCAGGGGACACUCCAUGUGUGGGUUUUGAUUCUGAUCCUUCCAGUUCAUCUCAUUUUUGUGACACUCAUAUGGUGACACUGGAUGGCUCAGCCUUGACUUAAAAACAGCUUGGGUUUCCCUGUUCCAUAUUUCUGUAUUAAAUGGUGCUUGCAAUUGCUAAGUUUUUUUUUUUUUUCUGUUGUGUUUCUUUUCUGCUGCUCAUAUAACUUUGACAGUAAGAAACUUCCAAAUGAUUUCUAGGUAUAAGCUGCUUACAGGUGAGUUUUGCAGUGGCAUGUGAGUUGCCUUUGUUCAUCCAGGCUGGUGCUGUACCUCCAAAACAAGGAUAAAGGCACAAGGAAUAUGACAGCUGCUAGUUUCAGAAAAGCUCCCCCAAAGAAAACAUUCUUUCCCAAUAUCUGCCUUCAUCUAUGGUCUCACAGCACAGAGAAAAGAAAUCCUGAUUAAAUCUGACAAUUUCAAUUGGUUAUGAGAACAUCAUGGGCUAUUUUGUUUCCCCAGAAGCUUGCUGGAAUUUACCUUGGAAGUUUUGUGAGUGCUUCAGGUGUCUCAGGCAGGGAUGAGUGUGGGAACUGCUGGAGUCAUCUGUUUGGAGCUGAUGAGGAGCUGAGUUGUUCCUGUGCUUUGGAGUCCAGGGGUGCUGAGCUCCUGCACCCAGCCAUGGCCAGGGGGUUCCUGUGA
rnacentral:lncRNA from 1 species